GCCACAGUCGUCUAGGGGUCAGGACACUAGUUUGUGGAGUUUACAACACCGCGAACCACUGGAAACCGAGGUUCGAGUCCUCGCUGCGGCA
rfam:Beauveria bassiana ARSEF 2860 unplaced genomic scaffold BBA_S00009, whole genome shotgun sequence.